rnacentral:lncRNA from 1 species
AAAAUUUAAAUAACUAUAUAAAUACAAUAUAUUUCAAGUAUUAAUUUUCUUAAAACCAACUGCCAAAAUUUUUGUACCAUUUCUAGAAGUUUGUUUUAUUUAUUUUUUUCCAGAAUUUUUUAAAAUAUUUUCCUAAGUUGUGAUCAACUUUCAAGAUUGGAAAUUUUUCUUCAAAGUAUGUCUGAUAUUUCAUAAAAUGGAACUAGCAUAGUGAGGUUUGGGUUUUGAAUUCAUGUUUGCUCUCCUAAGCUGAGACAAUGCUAGGGAAGAGCUCAUGGAGCCCUCAUAUCCUAUGUAUGACAUAACCUGAUCAAGCUUUUAUUUUCUGAAAGAUAUCCUAAACCAAUCAAUACAAGCAAGAUGAAGUUUACAUCAAUAUUCCAAUAUAGCAACAGCCUGAAAUGAAAAAGACAUACAUGAAGACAUAUCAACCAACUCUAGAGGUAAAUGGUAAUACCCAAAAGUCUCAUCACCACCAUAGCCUAGAAGAGCAAGACUUGUGGGAAAAGAAAAAAGAGGAAAAACCCAUGUGGGAUUUUCACAUUAGACCUACCAUCCUGGUCAACCCUAUUGAAAACGUCGGAUAAAAAUAACUUGCCUAAUAUCAUAAAUGAUCGGAGCAUUUUCAAAGAGAGGACUCAAAUCUAUACUGAGGUUGAAGCUUCAGCCUCCAACACCCAUUUUCCAGUAAUUUUUUUUCAAAGACAAACAAACUAAAACCAAUCCGCAUGCAUGAAUAAAAUGAAUAUCUCAAAUGAAAUCAGAACCAGCCCUCCUUACAAGUUUUACAAGCUCCAUCAAGAUAUAGCCUGCCCAUAUUAGUGGUCUAUGUAAACAUGGGUGUCAUUUGAAAGACUUUGAAAUGCAGACCUAUGCUUGAUUCAAGAACUUGCACACUAUUAAACCAGAUAACCAGGUGAAAAGUCCUCAAUUUGCUAGCUCAAAACAUGUCCGAAAAUAUAUCUAAUAAUAUGUCAGUUUGGAAAUGUUGAAAUUCCAUUUGUAAGAAAAAGCAAACAAUAAAUAACUCUAUGCAACAGCAAUAUUCAUUCCAUCAAUUUUUAUAAUAACAAUAUUACUGCACCAUAAGCAAUGUAUGAAAUUUGCUCAAAAUUCACUUGCAAAAUUAGAGUAAAGCAAAAUAUAUAUUAUCCCAAAAGUCAGGACAAAUAAAGCCAACGAGUAGAAAACCUAUCAAGGAAGGGGAACAUAAUGUAAUAUACAUAUGAUGCUCAUAACCUUCAUGAUAAGGGAUGGAAGAUAUCUAUACGAAUCAUCAUGAUUCCUAAGUUUCAGGACUCGUAGAGUCAUCCACUUAGGCUUGGUUUAAAUGUUAGUAAGUUUGAGGGAAGUACUAAGAACAGAAACUAGAGAGAAAAAUAGAAAGAAAAAGUGAAAGGAAACUAAAAUUUGGUUUAAACCCAGAAGAUUUUCUCAAAGAUUUAUUUACUUUCUUUCCUCUUCUAUAAAGAACGAAGAUUUUAAAAAGGUAUAAAAUUUUGAAUAGUUGUCACUAUAUUUGAUUUUCUUUAUAUUUCCCACAGGAAACUGUUAAGGAGCUAGAUUAGCUAAUUUAGGGUGGCAAUUUUCUUUCAAACAUUAUUGGAUACACUUUAUGUAUUUCCUGAGAUUUUCAUUUGCCUUUGAAAACUUGAGUCAUUUAUUGGACCAGCCCAAAGCAACAAAAAUAAGCUCUUUUGAAGGGAGCUCUAGUGGACUGGAUAAGAAGGGACACCGUCCUUUGAGGACAAGUUCAAAGGCUUUAUUUUUCAAACCCAUUAAAGGGACUUGGGGCAAGACUGCCAAAGUGGGCCACCAGAGCUCUCCUUUAAGAGGAGUGUGUCAAUUGUGUGGAGAUCUUUGCUGACCCCCUUUUGAAGGAGAUGUCUCAAGGUCCAGUGGGGUGGGUUUUGGCAAUUAAUGAUGCUCUUUUGGCAGAAGCAGCAGGCUUUGAAGGUAGGCCAUCAUCUUCCCUUUCUUUCCCUUUUGAUUCUCCAGUUGGGAUGCCCGUCAAUAGCAGUGGGCCAGUGAAUCACAUUAGGGACACAAUCAUGGCUAGGAGAUCGAGUCUUCAUUGAUGGUGGGACUUUCAUUUUGGUCUUUUGGAUCUGGAAAUGGACCACUUAGGAUGAUGCUUCAAGAUGGCAGGUUGUGGGAAUUUCCAAGGAAUGCUGUGAAAGAUCCUAUAUUUAAGGAGAUUGGGGUCAGGUAUGAGGAAAUGGAGUCCUCUAAGUCAGUAAUUCUAGUUGCAGUUUGAUGGGGUAGGAGCAUUGUUCAGAUGGCCUCUUCAGUUUGCUGGCCAACUUCAAUAGCUUUGUGGGGAUGCUAGUUAUGGAUGGGGUUUUGAAAAGGAGAUUAUCUCCCUUUUGAGGAAAAUAGAGGCAAGAAAAGAGCGUGGUGUUAAGGCCUCAGUGGUGGGGGGGUGGCGGCGGGAGGAAGAGGAAACCAAACUUGUCAUCUCGUUUUGAGAGGGAGACUUAGGUGGUGUUUGUUUUUUUGGCUUUUUGCUGAAAGCAAUUUGUUUUCAGAAUUUAGGUUGUUUGUUUUUCUACUUUUUCAUAACUUAUUAUAAAUUUUUUACUAAAUAGAAAAAGCCAAAAUAUGUAGUUUUUUCUAAAUAGAAAAAAAUAACAUAUUGGUUUUUCUUUACUUUUUAAUAUUUAAUAGAAAUAAAAUACUACAAAAACAAACAACCUAAUAUUUAACACUAUUAAGCAUUAUGGUUCUAUUUAGAAUUAAGUAAAAAACAAACAUCACCUUAAAGACUGGAAUAGUCAGUUAAGUAACAAUAACUCUCCUCUGACAGUUAGGGCCUCACAGAAAGGGGUAGGAGUAUUGGGGAUCUUUAACUCUGCUCUUAGAUUGGUUGAGGGACUUUUGUCACAAAAUUGCUCAGGGGGCAGAACAAGUUCACUUCCAAGAUUUAAAGGUGCUUCAUGCCAGUCUUGAUGGUGAGAAGUCUAGGUUUGGGAUGUUUAUUGGUUUUGGGAAUUGUGGGUGUCAAGAGGGCCAGCUGGGGGCAGUCUAGUAUUCUGUGAGUUUAGGAUGUUGCUUUUGGAGCUAUUUGUAUUUUGAUGCACCUUUUCCAAGUGCUUUUAACAUCUUCUCUUAAUUUACCUAUGAAAAAAAAGUCAAUCCACUCCUAGCCAAAAUCCAUUUUUCCAUGACUACAAGUAAGAACCCCCAAAUGUCAUCGUCCUUUGCCUUCUCAAUGUCAAAGCUUACAAAGAACACUGCUAGUAAAGCUCUUCAGCCUUGCAUCUAUGGCUCAUUUACAAAAAGAAGUGUCCCCAAAAUUUGUUGUCUACCCCGUACAAAGCAUGUUGAUAGUUGUAUGCUACUCCUCCACAACUUUUCCAAGUCUAUUGACUAACAGCUUUUGCUAUGAGCAUAUUCAAUCCACCCAUCAAGCUAAUGGCAUUUAGAAUUCUUUCAAAUGAGCUUGCCGAUUAAACUUACCAAAGAAGCGUAUCAGUUCAUUCUUCACAAAGUCCAAGCAAUGUUGCUAAAAAGCCACACUGAGCCCCUUCGAUUCGGGAGCUUUGCCCCCACACAAACUGGAAAUAGUGGAGAAAACUGCAUCCUCUAGAAAAGGAACCUCCAAUCCCCCUUAAUCUUCACUCUCCAAUGGAAUGAAGGACAUCCCACUGAUACCAGGUCUUUGAUCCCCUGACCUAGAAAGAAGAAUACGAAAAUGCAUUUAAACCCCCCCCCCCCCCCUCUCUCUCUCUCUCUUAAUUUCUACAUCAUGUAAGAGCUAUUCACUCUAAUUUUAGCCAUGUCAUUCUUCUACAUGCAUAAGCCAUUUUGCAGUUUUUAAUUAUUCAAAUGGUUUUAGGCUAAACAUGUUUUAUGUUUAAUGCUAGUGAAGAUAGUUUUCAACUCAAAAGCUUACUCAUUACCAACUCAAAGCCUAAUGAACAAGUACAUUAUAUAGAAUGUGUGUAUAUGCUUUCCAUGAAAAUAAACCAAAACUAAUCUAAUUCCGAGCCAAAUUUGAAAUCCAACUUUCAUACCUAAGACUUGGCAAUGAGCUAAAUUCACAUUUCUCAUAACCAUAGACAUAAGCUUCCAAAUAAGAAAUAAGGCAAUCUAGAAUCAAAUUCUUAUGUCAUUUUGGAAAAACCUAACAUGUAAGUAUAUCCAUAUCCAUCCUAGCGUUACUUCAUCAACUUGCUCUAAAAAUGAAAAUAGACUUCAAGCCAUUACAAUACAAAAAAUUAAAGCAUCUGAAUAAAUUGUACUUAAAAGGGCAAAGUUAUUUCAACAAGAUGCACUAGUUUGUCCAGAAAUAGCAUGUUAGUGACAUGAUGCAUGGUUAAGACAAACCAAUUGGAGCAAAAUAAAACACCCAAUAGUACAUGUCACUCACAGGCCUUGGUAGAAUAACAUGAUUUUAAUAAGAAAAGUACUAUACAGCAUAACUAUAACCAUACUUACACCAUCAAAAGAAAAAUGCAUAUACUCAACUUUAUUAUUAACCACAUAAGAUUGCAAAAAAAAAAAAAACAGGCCUGCCUUUUAUUAUUUUUAGCAUCCAUUUAAAUAAGAGUAUUUUUUGAAAAAACUAACUACAUAUGGGCUUUUUAUACCUUAAAAUUUUGGACAAACUUUUUUCCAAUAGUACCUGAAUUCUUAAAGAUGUUUUUGAUAUGCUAAAAACAAAGGCGUGCAUGAAAAAAAAAAAUUUAAGAACCUAAUCUAAAAAAGGUUAAAGCCAUACUUUAUUAUUAUACAGUUGCCUACUUGAAUAUUCCCUACUUAAUGCCACAACCACCACAACAGCAUGCCAUUGCCACAACUUCUGCUAGCAUGAUGACACAGCCCAACCAAGCACCACUGACACCAUUAUGGUACACUGCCUUCAAUCACCUUGAGUGUCAUGGUCAUUGGCAUAUAAUACCACAACUGUAUCCCCACCACCACCCUGCCACCCCACUACUAUCAUCAGUAACAUCAUGCUGCCAACCUGCACUGCUAUCAUUACCACAAUGACACUUCCACUAUCAUUAUGCCUUCUUUAUCACCAAAACUGUCACCAUACUACACACACGCAUAGCACAUGCCCCUUCCACUAGUUUAUAAUAAAUAAAAAAAAUCAAAGUGUUUUAUACUAUAUAUUAUAUAUUAACAUACAAUAUAAGUAUAAUCAAAAUGGAACUAGCAGACGAGGCACACGCCAUGCGUGUGCAUACUACGACAUCAAUUUUACAAUAAAACGCAUAAUAAUAGUACAAACAACAACAAUAGUGAUAGCACUUACAUGAAUUAGCAGUGUGGUAAUAUUGAUGACAAUGGUAGGGUUGUAGGAGGAGGUCAAUGAGGUAUACCAAUACCAACAAUGGUUUCAAAGUUCACAAAUUAGUGAUAAUGACAAAACAGUUGGGUGAUAGUGGUGUGGAGCGAAUUGAUUGCAAUCAAAUCGAUACCAUUUUACCCUCAUGCAUAUAAAAUGCAUAUCAUUGAUCAAAUUUGCCAUUAUAAUUGGAGGUGUCACAUAUGAUGGGUAAUGUCAAAGUUGGUGGAGCAAUUUGACAACAAUCAAAUUGAUGCCACUUUAACCUCAUAUGCAUAUAAAAUUGCAUGUCAUUGAUCAACAUUGUCAUUAUAACUUGUGGUGUCAAAUUACAUGGGCGGUCAAGCCAAUGUUGGUGGAGCAAUUUGGUUGCAAUAAAAUUGAUGCCAUUUUAUCCUCGUAUGCACAUAAAAUGAAUUCCAUUGAUCAAAUUGUCAUUAUAACUAGAAGUAUCAAAUGGUCCAGCUCAGGCCAACCCACUUUUUAAUGGGUUCAAUGGCCCAACUAGGUCAACCCACCCAAGUAAUAUCCCCAACUUGACAACAGCCAGGCAUACCAUUGAAAAUAAAUUCAAAAUGUUGACAAAAAGGUUAAAAUAUAUAAAAUUUUGGAAUAGAAAAAUGAAACAGAUAAAAUAUAACAUGUUAUUCAAUAUUUCAACAAAACAAAAACUACAUUAAAAAUCAUGUCAUUAAAGCUUUACCUUCUUGCACAUUUCUUUCAUCCAAAAAACCCCUUCCAAAAGUGAUAUGGCAACUAAUUUGAGGGUAAAUAUAUAAUGAUGUAAAUCUUUGAGUGACCAAUUUACACAUUUAGCCCCCAAACCAGCCAUUAUAUAGUUGUUAAAACAAAUAUUUUAGAUUUUUGGAUGUGUUUGAAUAAUAAUAAAAAAAAGAGUUAAAAGUCAAGAUUAGUCAUUGGCACACCAGGCUAGCCAAGCCUAGCUGCCAAGUGCAACCUGAUCCAGCAUGCACAAUAAACAUGAUGGUCACUCCUUCAAUGGGCUAGACUAUGGGAACCCAACUUAUUUUCCAUCUUUAAUUGUAACUUAUAAUACAAGUGUCAACAAAUUCAAUAUAAGACAAGCUUAUUUGUUGUGAAUUUUGUUUGUGAAGAUCAUAAUGUUUUAAAAUCUAGCCAUUCAACAAUGCAUAUAGCAAGUGACAACAUGCAACAAAAUAUCUUAUUUAUGAAGCCAAAAUUUGUCAUUGGAAGUGCAAUUGAGUUUGGCUCCUCUCCAAUGCAUAGGAGGAUGGGACAUCUCCUAUCCUUUUUACAAGUUAAUGACACAUGAUCUCUAAAUUUACGUUUGCAUACAAACCAAAUUAUCAAAGAGUUAAAUGAUUAUUCAAUUUAAAUAACAUGAAUUUUUUUAACUUUUAUUUAUGUUCUUAGUAAAUGAACAUCAUAUAAAAAAAAUCAUUUCUCCAAUUUUCUAAAAAAACCAAUAAAUCUAAAAAUACAUACAUAUUUAGUUAUUUUUUACAAAUAAAAUUUAAUGUCUAGAAGUAGAAUUAUUUCUUUUGAUGGAAUUUUUUUUAUUGAAUUUUUAAUAAAUAGGACAUGAAACAUAAAAAAAUAUUUUAAAUAUUUUUUAUCCUAGAAACAUCAAAAAUACAUAUAUAUUCUUAAUUUUUUUUACUCCCUAAAAAACCCGAUAAACAUAAAAUAAUAAAUGAUUUUGAAUUAAUUUUUCUUUAAACAUUAAAAUUGAGAGCCAAAACAUUGUCCUCUAGUAAGUUUUCUAUUUGCUUUAUGAAAACUACUUGUUUUCUUAUCCUCAAAAGUCUAUUUAUUUUAUUUUAUUCAUCAAUUGGACGUAAACCAUCAACUAAAAAACAUAAAAUUGAUAAAAGCAAUGAAAUAGAAUUGUUUAGAAAAUAAUUGGUGUACCAGUGGAUUUUUCAUGUUGAUACUUUGUAAGGACAUAAGAUGUUGCAUUCUCCUAUGCAUUUUGGACAUGCAUUUACCUCCAAGACACGAAUACAAAGAUGAAAAAAAACUAUGUUGCACUAUGGCCACACUUUGAAGGUUUCAAAACGUUCCAAUUGGAAGGAAACCCAACAAAAUAGCAUUCAUAGUCCAUCACUAGUUCUUUAUUCACAACAUUUAAAUUUUAGAUCCAAACCCAAUAACAAAGUACUUGUAAUUGGUUCACAGUUUUCUCUUUAUAGCAUAAAAUCUAAUAAGUCUUAACAUUAAGCACAAAAUUAGCAACAUACUCAACUUAUUCAAUAUUUCAACACCAAGGUCUCAAGUUCCUAUCUUAUCCAUAAAAAGAAAGAAAAGUAACAAUCAUCCAAGGAACCACUAUUCAUUCUUCUAAUUAGAAAUCAAACUCAAACAGUAAAUGCAAUUCCAAUAUUUAGGAUUGGAAAGUUAAAAACUUAUAUUCCAAAUCCAAGCAGUUGAGAUAUCAAGGAAAGCAUUUUUACAAGCUUCCAUCAAUAAGAACAUAACAAAAAUAUUAAUAUAUAUAUAUAUAUAUAUAUAUAUAUAUAUAUAUAUAUAUAUAAGUCCGAAGAGUUUGUAGACGUUUUUCUUUGAGUUUAGACUUUUUUCUUCCCAAAGUAUCCCUUUUAUAUCGCUUAUUUCCCCUCAUAUUGCACAUCUUUAUCAUCCUCAUACUGCACAUCUUUAUUAUUUAACUGUAACAAUCAUGAUAAAUUCACCUUCUCAUUAUUUAAUGGUUAUAAAUGAUAAAAUUGAAUUUAUUUUAAUUAUUUUUUAUUUUAAGGUUCUUCCUUCUCUUCUUUUAAUAAUUAAUAUGCAAGUUUUACUUUUUCUUUUCUGUUGCUUUCCUUUUUUUUCCAUUUACAUCUGGGAUUCAUUGGUAGCAUGGUAAGUACAAUUUAUGUUUUCAUAAUAAAAUUAAUGAACUUUAUAAUUCAACUCAAAUACGUUUUUCAUACAUACAAUUUUACAAGAUAAUGUUCCAUGAUAGUUAAUCUUAUAAAAGUUCCAGCUUGAGCUGUGGUCCAAAAAUGAAAUCCUAGAAUUAAAAAAUUUUCAAUAAUAGCAUUGACAAUUUUGCAUUGAAAGAGAAACCCUGGCCCUCUCUUCUGUUUCCAAUAAAAUAGAGCAAAUAAAAGAAAACUCUUUCAUUCUUAUGUUAUCUUACAUCCUUUACUUCCAAAAAAAAGUUUUAAAAUAAAAAUAAAAAACCCUCGGGUCAACUAAGCAGAACAGUCAGUGUAAGUUUUGACAUUUUUCUGUACACCCAGUUCAUCAUCAAUGGUGAAAAUUUUACAAUUCAAAAUUUUAAUUACUUUUUUUUAUAUUUUCUCUGCAUCUAAACUAACCCCAUGUUUGGUUCUUGGAAAAUUUGAGGAAAAAUGCCAGGGAAAGAAAAUAAAGAGAAAAUGAAAGAAAAUGAAAAGAGGGAAAAAAACAAUAGAUUUAAAGUUAAUAAGUUCUUGCCUAAAAAAAAAAGUUAAUAAGCUCUAUUUAAAUGUUUCAAACUCAUUUCACUUAUUUUCCUCGUCGUUCCUCAACAUUUUCUUUUCCUUUACUGACUUCUGCCUAAAUCUAUUUUUAUGGAUGAAAACAAAAUUUUCAGGAGCUGUGAUCCAAACUUGCAAUAUUUUCACGGCCGCUUAAAGAGAAACCGUAGAAUUCAAUACUUCUAGAAAUAUAUUUUCCAAAUUAUAAAGCACAGAGUGAAUCCAACCAUCUGUUUGGUCACCAAGAAAAUGACAAAAAAAAAAAAAAACAUAUUUUGACUCCAAUAUUAUCUCUCUCACUUUCUUUACUGCCAAGAAAAUCCAAAACUACGAAAAUUUAAAAUAAAUAAAUAAAUAAAUAAAACUGAGAUGAAAUAAGACCAAAAGUCGUAGGUUUUUUUGUGAAGUUCCGGUUUCUGCAUUCCCAAGCCCUAGAUGGUGAAAAAUUUACUAUUCAAAAUUUUCUUUCAUUAUCCCAUUAUUUUCUCAGCAUCCUAGAGGCAUUUUCUCGGUAUCCAAACAAAAUAAUCUAACCUAGGGGUCGAUUGAUUGGCUUGGGAAUAGAGAGGAGCAGUACCUUGAACCCAGAAUCGAUCCAAUCUCAGCGUUUGGAGAAGAAGAAGGGUAAACAGAGAUCGCGACUUCUUGUGCUGCGAGCUAAACCUAAAGCCAUGAGCUACAAGGUACAACCUAACUUGUAAUGCCCAACUAACCCAAUUUAUGGGUAAAAUCGUAAUUUAAAAAUUAUUAAUUAAUUAAAUUCAUUUAAUAAAGGUAAAAAUGCCUUUUGUAUUUAAAACUCCUAUAUAUAAAUUAGAUCUUUUAUAUAUUCUCUAUUCAGAAAACCCUUUUACAUAUAGAUCAAAAAGAAAGAUCAGAGAACAACAUAGGGCUGAAGAUUUGAAGGUUUAGGAUUUGAAGAUCAAUUUUUCAGGUGAGAUUUUUAAUCCUUAAAUUAAUAUUUUAUAUUCGUUAAUUAGUUUUGAAUACUUUAGAUAUUAUUUAGAACAUCUCAAUUUUGAUUAGAGUUCGUUUAAUUAACUUUUAGGUCAAAAGAUUAAAAAUUUAUGAACAUAGUUUGAUUUAUUAAUGGAGUUUGAUAAAUUUUGAUUACUCAAAUGAAUAGAUCUAGAUAAAUAUAUAUAUAUAUAUAUAUAUAUAUAUAUAUUUAGUUUCGGAUGUGAAAAUUACAUAAAAUUGUGAGUAUGGAGGUUAAAAGUUUUGAUUAUUGUUUAAGAAUUGAAAAUAAUAUUGGAUGGUAAUAAUAUUGAUAUGAGAAAUUAAUUAGGAUCCUGAUACUAAAUAAAAUAUUUUUAGGAUUUUCAAAUUUAUAUGUUUGGAUAAAUAAUCAAUAAUCAAUAUUGUGUAUGAUAUUAUGUUAGGUGAUGAGGAAAUUAUUCAGAGUUAAAUACUUCAAGAUUUUGAGUGCUUUUUCAAGGUAAGGGAAAUUAAUGCAGAUUUUUACAAAAGAAAACAAUUUCCUUUUUAUAUUGUAUUUUGAAAAAUGUAAAAAUAUUAUUUUUAUCUUUUUGCAUGGAUCAAAUAUGUGUUUUGUAUGAAAAGUAUAUUUGAGAAUCUUCUUUGUUUAUUUAUGAAAAGUGAAAAUUUUUGGAGAUAUGAUAUUUUGUUUUGCAAGUUUAAAUUAAUAAAAUAAAGCGUUUGACUCUGGUUCUUAUAACCCUAGUCAACGAGUUAUAAUUGUUGACAUUUCUAUGACCCUAAUUAACGAGUUAUAAUAAUUGAUAUUAUAUGACCCUAGUCAACGGGUUAUAAUAGUUGACUUUAUGGCCCUAGUCAACGGGUUAUAAUAGUUGACCUUAUGACCCAUAGUCAACGGGUUAUAAUUGUUGACUUUUGGUUUUGUUCAUCUUAAAUGGAACAAAUUUGAAACUAGUAACCCAUUUGUGAAGUCCCACCUAAUUGAGCACCAUUUGUUAUUUGAUAACCAAAGUAAGAUAUUUUGAAUGCAUUUGAUUUGGUUUUGAUGAGAAAUUGUUUUGAAAUGGAUAUGAGAAAGUUCAUUGAAAAGUUUGAAUAUAUUAGUAUUUCAAACUUAAAAGUUUUUUUUAUGAAAAUAAGUAUAUGUUAUAUCUCCUAUUUGCAAGUAUGAUUGAAAAUGUUUGAUCCAUAAAAUUGCAUUGAUGUUCCUUAUUGAGCUUUAAACUCAUGCCCCUUUGUUGAUAAUUUUUCAGGUACUUUCAGUUCGGACGAGGAGUGUUGGCUAAGCUUGAGAAUUUUUCUUUGUUAGGAUUUUGGUUCAAACUUAUUUUGGACAUUGUUUAGAUGUUAAAAUUUAUUUUUCAUUUAAAUUAUUUGAAUUUGGAGUUAUUUGGACAAUAACACUCUAGUUGAUGUGUUAGUUUUUUNNNNNNNNNNNNNNNNNNNNNNNNNNNNNNNNNNNNNNNNNNNNNNNNNNNNNNNNNNNNNNNNNNNNNNNNNNNNNNNNNNNNNNNNNNNNNNNNNNNNUUUCUAGUUACAAUACGAAUGUUUGUGUCGUUUCCACUUUGAGCCUCUGGGCUUGAGGUGUGAAAUGAUCGUCAUGCCCUUGGAGUGGGUUUUGGGGCGUGACAAAAUGGUAUCAGAGUCGAUCCCCGACCCUGGUGUGGGGGUUUGUUUGCAUCAAUUUUUUUUAAAAAAACUAACACAUCAACUAGAGUGUUAUUGUCCAAAUAACUCCAAAUUCAAAUAAUUUAAAUGAAAAAUAAAUUUUAACAUCUAAACAAUGUCCAAAAUAAGUUUGAACCAAAAUCAUAACAAAUAAAAAUUCCCAAGCCUAGCCAACACUCCUCGUCCGAAUUAAAAGUACCUGAAAAAUUAUCAACAAAGGGGCAUAAGCUUAAAGCUCAAUAAAGAACAUCAAUGCAGUUUCAUGGAUCAAAUAUUUUCAAUCAUGUUUGCAAAUAGGAGAUAUAACAUAUACUUAUUUUCAUAUAAAAAACUUUUGAGUUCGAAAUACUAAUAUAUUCAAACUUUUCAAUUAACUUUCUCAUGUCCAUUUCAAAACAAUUUCUCAUCAAAACCAAAUCAAAUGCAUUCAAAAUAUCUUACUCUGGUUAUCAAAUAACAAAUGGUGCCCAAUUAGGUGAGACUUCACAAAUGAGUGACUAGAUUCAAAUUUGUUCCGUUUAAGUUGAACAAAACCAAAAGUCAACAAUUAUAACCCAUUGACUAGGGGCCAUAAGGUUAACUAUUAUAACUCGUUAACUAGGGCCAUAUAAUAUCAACUAUUAUAAUCCGUUGAUUAAGGCUAUAGAAAUGUUAACAAUUAUAACCCGUUGACUGGGGUCAUAGGAACCAGAGUCAAACACUUUAUUUCAUUAAUUCAAACUUGUAAAUCAAAAUAUCAUAUCUCCAAAAAUUUUCAUUUUUCAUAAACAAAGAAGAUUUUCAAAUAUAAUUUUCAUACAAAACACAUAUUUGAUCUAUGUGAAAAGAUAAAAAUGAUAUUUUUACACAUUUCAAAAUACAAUAUAAAAAGAAAAUUAUUUUCUUUUAUAAAAAUCUGCAUUAAUUUCCCUUACUUUGAAAAAACACUCAAAAUCUUGAAGUAUUUAACUCUGAAAAAUUUCCUUCUCACCUAACAUAAUAUCAUACAUGAGAAAACAAAGGCUAUGCUUAGUUAAGAAAAACACCCAAAAGGGAGGAGGGGGGGGGAGGGGGGGG